rnacentral:rRNA from 1 species
AACGAACGCUGGCGGCAGGCUUAACACAUGCAAGUCGAACGGUUGUAGCAAUACAGCAGUGGCAGACGGGUGAGUAACACGUGGGAACCUUCCUAGGGGUACGGAACAACUCAGGGAAACUUGAGCUAAUACCGUAUACGUCCGUGAGGAGAAAGAUUUAUCGACCCUUAGACGGGCCCGCGUCGGGUUAGCUAGUUGGUGGGGUAACGGCCUACCAAGGAGAAGAUCCGUAGCUGAUCUUAGAGGAUGAUCAGCCACACUGGGACUGGGACACGGACCAGACUCCUACGGGAGGCAGCAGUGGGGAAUCUUGGACAAUAGGCGCAAGCCUGAUCCAGCCAUGCCGCGUGAGUGAAGAAGGUCUUUGGAUUGUAAAGCUCUUUUGCCAGGGACGAUAAUGACGGUACCUGGAGAAUAGGCCCCGGCAAACUUCGUGCCAGCAGCCGCAGUAA